ACGAACGCUGGCGGCGUGCUUCACACAUGCAAGUCGAACGGAAAGGCCUGCUUUCCCUUGUGGAUUGCGGGUACUCGAGUGGCGAACGGGUGAGUAACACGUGAGUGAUCUGCCCCCAACUUGGGUAUAAGCCUGGGAAACUGGGUCUAAUUCCCGAUAGGACUGCAGGGUGGUGCCUGUGGUGGAAAACGAUUUUCUAGUGGUUGGGGAUGAGCUCGCGGCCUAUCAGCUUGUUGGUGGGGUAAUGGCCUACCAAGGCGGCGACGGGUAGCCGGCCUGAGAGGGUGGACGGCCACAUUGGGACUGAGAUACGGCCCAGACUCCUACGGGAGGCAGCAGUGGGGAAUAUUGCACAAUGGGCGGAAGCCUGAUGCAGCGACGCCGCGUGGGGGAUGACGGCCUUCGGGUUGUAAACUCCUUUCGACCGCGAGGAAGCCACCUGGUUGGAAGGGUGGUGACGGUAGUGGUAGAAGAAGCACCGGCUAACUACGUG
rnacentral:rRNA from 1 species